rnacentral:rRNA from 1 species
UACGGGGGGGGCAAGCGUUGUUCGGAAUUACUGGGCGUAAAGGGCUCGUAGGUGGCCAACUAAGUCAGACGUGAAAUCCCUGGGCUCAACCCAGGAACUGCGUCCGAUACUGGCAGGCUUGAAUCCGGGAGAGGGAUGCGGAAUUCCAGGUGUAGCGGUGAAAUGCGUAGAUAUCUGGAGGAACACCGGUGGCGAAGGCGGCAUCCUGGACCGGCAUUGACGCUGAGGCGCGAAAGCCAGGGGAGCAAACGGG